rnacentral:rRNA from 1 species
GUCUGAGAGGAUGAUCAGCCACACUGGAACUGAGACACGGUCCAGACUCCUACGGGAGGCAGCAGUGGGGAAUCUUGCGCAAUGGGGGGAAAACCCCUGACGCAGCGACGCCGCGUGAGUGAUGAAGGCCUUCGGGUUGUAAAGCUCUGUGGGGAGGAGACGAAUAAGUGUAGUCGAAUAGACUGCAUGAUGACGGUAUCUCCUUAGCAAGCACCGGCUAACUCUGUGCCAGCAGCCGCGGUAAGACAGAGGGUGCAAACGUUGUUCGGAAUGACUGGGCGUAAAGCGUAUGUAGGCGGCUUUGCAGGUCGGAUGUGAAAUCCCUUGGCUCAACCAAGGAAGUGCAUUCGAAACCGCAGAGCUUGAGUGCCUGAGAGGAAGGUGGAAUUCUCGGUGUAGAGGUGAAAUUCGUAGAUAUCGAGAGGACACCCGUGGCGAAAGCGGCCUUCUGGAAGAGCACUGACGCUGAGAUACGAAAGCA